UCUGAGUGGAAUGUUGUCUGGUUCAAGGUCUUGCCCUGUGAUUUGAGGAUGAAUCUUAUGUGUUUUCAUUCCUCCAAUCUGCGGGAUCUCGGACCAGGCUUCAUUCCCCUCAGA
rnacentral:pre_miRNA from 1 species